UUGCGGCUCAACCGUAAAAUUGCAGUUGAUACUGUAUGUCUUGAGUGUACAAGAGGUGGGCGGAAUUCGUGGUGUAGCGGUGAAAUGCUUAGAUAUCACGAAGAACUCCGAUUGCGAAGGCAGCUCACUAGGGUACAACUGACACUGAGGCUCGAAAGUGUGGGUAUCAAACAGGAUUAGAUACCCUGGUAGUCCACACAGUAAACGAUGAAUACUCGCUGUUUGCGAUAUACAGUAAGCGGCCAAGCGAAAGCAUUAAGUAUUCCACCUGGGGAGUACGCCGGCAACGGUGAAACUCAAAGGAAUUGACGGGGGCCCGCACAAGCGGAGGAGCAUGUGGUUUAAUUCGAUGAUACGCGAGGAACCUUACCAGGGCUUAAAUGUAGUCUGACAGAUUUGGAAACAGAUUUUUCUUCGGACAGAUUACAAGGUGCUGCAUGGUUGUCGUCAGCUCGUGCCGUGAGGUGUCAGGUUAAGUCCUAUAACGAGCGCAACCCCUAUUGUUAGUUGCCAGCGAGUAAUGUCGGGAACUCUAGCAAGACUGCCGGUGCAAACCGAGAGGAAGGUGGGGAUGACGUCAAAUCAUCACGGCCCUUACGUCCUGGGCCACACACGUGCUACAAUGGCCGGUACAGUGAGCAGCCACUACGCGAGUAGGAGCGAAUCUACAAGGCCGGUCACAGUUCGGAUUGGAGUCUGCAACUCGACUCUAUGAAGCUGGAAUCGCUAGUAAUCGGAUAUCAGCCAUGAUCCGGUGAAUACGUUCCCGGGCCUUGUACACACCGCCCGU
rnacentral:rRNA from 1 species